rnacentral:lncRNA from 1 species
UUCCCGGCGGGCGCACGGCCGGAGUGCGUCACGCUGCGUGAUCGCCGCGGCGCAGCCAAUGGGUUGCGGGCGGCCGCGCGUGGACAGCGCCCCGAUUGGCGAGAAAACUACAGCUGCCCGGACGGGGGACCAAUGGCGGGGUACGGCCACCACGUGUACAGCUCGUGGAUAAACAGGCAGCGAUGGGGCGGGGCAAAGCCAAGAGCGGGCGGGGCGUAGAGCGCCGGGGCGUGAGGGGGCACGUGGCGGGUCCUGCUGUAGCCCCUGUCCGCGGAACCGUCCCGGUUCUGGCCGCACGGCAGCCGAGGCGCGGCGGGGAGGCCGGGGCCGCCCGGUGAGCCUCAGUUCCUGCCUGCGGGCUGAGGUGGGAGCACUGAGCUGUGGGCUCAGCUUCUCUUUGUGGGUAGUGGGACUCUCAGAGAAUGGAAACAGGCCAAGGUGGUGCAGUGCGAUGCGUUCCCUGUUUGACCUAAAAGCUUGGGAAAACCCACAGCUCUUCAGUGAUAAAUGCACGUAUGCCAGGAAGGGGAGCGGGCCAGCCGGGCAGCGGUGUGGCCCUGUGCCCCAACCCCACGCUACAGCCACAGCCCUGCACCUCACAGAGCCACGCGCCCUCCUGGGCCGGCCGGUGCACUGAGUGUAACGUUUCUGUAUGAGGUUUCCUGUUUUGUGGUUGCCCAAUGCCUCUUCUUGAAGGAACGAGUUGCCCGCGUCUACGCUGGUGACAAAGAAGUGGAGCUUCUGACUCAGCUCUGUGCUUGGGGCUUCCAUUAUCUUCUGCUUCCUGCGUUGUUACAUCCUGGUGAGCCCAGGAAAGAACCAGCUCUGCGCUUCCCCGCUGACUCAGUUUCCAGGCUGAAGAUGGAUUGGCACAAUAUUUCCUUGCUCAUCAGGUUCUGGCAUGAGCUGGCAGAGGUAUUCCAAAUGCAGUUCAGCAAGGAAACGUACCACAGACGGGUGGGAUACAGCUGAGUAGAGCUGCUG